GGAUAGCUCAGUCGGUAGAGCAGGGGAUUGAAAAUCCCCGUGUCCUUGGUUCGAUUCCGAGUCCGGGCACCA
rnacentral:tRNA from 5 species